AACUCAGAAAAAUAUUAGUUAGAUAUUUGACAAACAAAAAAACUAACCUAAAAGUUCUGAGUCAAAAGUAAAAACUCUAUUUUGAAUAAGGAGGAGAAUUAUUAUGAAAUUUCAGAUCCUAAAAAGAAGCUCUAAUUUAAAAUUUCUUAUUGAGUAUAAAAAGAAAGCGGAAGAUUAUUUCAAGAAAAGAAAUAAAAAUAUCUAAAGAAAAAACUUUAAAUACACUCCUUGUGGUUUUACUCUUUCUCACUUUAAUACCCUGUGGUUUAAAGUGUAUCAAGUUAGUACCUUAUAGUUUCGCACUUUUUCACUUUAGUACCCUAUGGUUUAAAGUGUAUUAAGUUAGUACCCUGUGGUUUCGCACUUUCUCAAUUUAGUAUCCUGUGGCUUCGCACUUUCUCACUUUAGUACUCUGUGGUUCAAUAUUUCAUUGAGAAAAAAAUAAAACAACAUGAUGCUAACUUGAUAUAAAAAUAAAACCACAUGGUACUAAUUUGAUACAAAAAUAAAACCGCAGAGUACUAACUUAAUACACUUUAAACCACAGGGUACUAAAGUGAGAAAGUACGAAGCCACAGGGUACUAACUUGAUACACUUUAAACCACAGGGUACUAAAAUAAAAAAGUGCGAAACUAUAGGGGUGUUUUUUGAAGUUUUCCCAU
rnacentral:lncRNA from 1 species